rnacentral:rRNA from 1 species
GAUGAACGCUGGCGGCGUGCCUAAUACAUGCAAGUCGAGCGAACGGACGAGAAGCUUGCUUCUCUGAUGUUAGCGGCGGACGGGUGAGUAACACGUGGGUAACCUACCUAUAAGACUGGGAUAACUUCGGGAAACCGGAGCUAAUACCGGAUAAUAUUUUGAACCGCAUGGUUCAAAAGUGAAAGACGGUCUUGCUGUCACUUAUAGAUGGAUCCGCGCUGCAUUAGCUAGUUGGUAAGGUAACGGCUUACCAAGGCAACGAUGCAUAGCCGACCUGAGAGGGUGAUCGGCCACACUGGAACUGAGACACGGUCCAGACUCCUACGGGAGGCAGCAGUAGGGAAUCUUCCGCAAUGGGCGAAAGCCUGACGGAGCAACGCCGCGUGAGUGAUGAAGGUCUUCGGAUCGUAAAACUCUGUUAUUAGGGAAGAACAUAUGUGUAAGUAACUGUGCACAUCUUGACGGUACCUAAUCAGAAAGCCACGGCUAACUACGUGCCAGCGGCCGCGGUAAUACGUAGGUGGCAAGCGUUAUCCGGAAUUAUUGGGCGUAAAGCGCGCGUAGGCGGUUUUUUAAGUCUGAUGUGAAAGCCCACGGCUCAACCGUGGAGGGUCAUUGGAAACUGGAAAACUUGAGUGCAGAAGAGGAAAGUGGAAUUCCAUGUGUAGCGGUGAAAUGCGCAGAGAUAUGGAGGAACACCAGUGGCGAAGGCGACUUUCUGGUCUGUAACUGACGCUGAUGUGCGAAAGCGUGGGGAUCAAACAGGAUUAGAUACCCUGGUAGUCCACGCCGUAAACGAUGAGUGCUAAGUGUUAGGGGGUUUCCGCCCCUUAGUGCUGCAGCUAACGCAUUAAGCACUCCGCCUGGGGAGUACGACCGCAAGGUUGAAACUCAAAGGAAUUGACGGGGACCCGCACAAGCGGUGGAGCAUGUGGUUUAAUUCGAAGCAACGCGAAGAACCUUACCAAAUCUUGACAUCCUUUGACAACUCUAGAGAUAGAGCCUUCCCCUUCGGGGGACAAAGUGACAGGUGGUGCAUGGUUGUCGUCAGCUCGUGUCGUGAGAUGUUGGGUUAAGUCCCGCAACGAGCGCAACCCUUAAGCUUAGUUGCCAUCAUUAAGUUGGGCACUCUAAGUUGACUGCCGGUGACAAACCGGAGGAAGGUGGGGAUGACGUCAAAUCAUCAUGCCCCUUAUGAUUUGGGCUACACACGUGCUACAAUGGACAAUACAAAGGGCAGCGAAACCGCGAGGUCAAGCAAAUCCCAUAAAGUUGUUCUCAGUUCGGAUUGUAGUCUGCAACUCGACUACAUGAAGCUGGAAUCGCUAGUAAUCGUAGAUCAGCAUGCUACGGUGAAUACGUUCCCGGGUCU